rnacentral:rRNA from 1 species
UUCGAUCAUGGCUCAGAUUGAACGCUGGCGGGAUACUUUACACAUGCAAGUCGAACGGCAGCACGGACUUCGGUCUGGUGGCGAGUGGCGAACGGGUGAGUAAUGUAUCGGAACGUGCUAGUAGCGGAGAAUAACUACGCGAAAGCGUAGCUAAUACCGCAUACGCCCUUCGAGGAAAGCGGGGGACCUUCGGGCCUCGCACUAAUAGAGCGGCCGAUAUCGGAUUAGCUAGUUGGUGGGGUAACGGCUCACCAAGGCGACGAUCCGUAGCUGGUUUGAGAGGACGACCAGCCACACUGGGACUGAGACACGGCCCAGACUCCUACGGGAGGCAGUGGGGAAUUUUGGACAAUGGGGGAAACCCUGAUCCAGCCAUCCCGCGUGUGCGAUGAAGAAGGCCUUCGGGUUGUAAAGCACUUUUUGGCAGGAAAGAAACGGCGGGAUAAUACCCCGUGCAACUGACGGUACCUGCAGAAUAAGCACCGGCUAACUACGUGCCCAGCAGCCGCGGUAAUACGUAAGUGCAAGCGUUAAUCGGAAUUACUGGGCGUAAAGCGUGCGCAGGCGGUUCGGAAGAAGAUGUGAAAUCCCAGGUAACUUUGGAACUGCAUUUUUAACUACCGAGCUAGAGUGUGUCAGAGGGAGGUGGAAUUCCGCGUGUAGCAAAUGCGUAGAUAUGCGGAGGAACACCGAUGGCGAAGGCAGCCUCCUGGGAUAACACUGACGCUCAUGCACGAAAAGCGUGAAACAAACAGGAUUAGAUACCCUGGUAGUCCACGCCUAAACGAUGUCAACUAGCUGUUGGGGCCUUCGGGCCUUGGUAGCCGCAGCUAACGCGUGAAGUUGACCGCCUGGGAGAGUACGGUCGCAAGAUUAAAACUCAAAGGAAUUGACGAGGGACCCGCACAAGCGGUGGAUGAUGUGGAUUAAUUCGAUGCAACGCGAAAACCCCACCUACCCUUGACAUGUCUGGAAUCCCGAAGAGAUUUGGGAGUGCUCGCAAGAGGAACGGAACACAGGUGCUGCAUGGCUGUCGUCAGCUCGUGUCGUGAGGUGUUGGUUAAGUCCGCAACGACGCAACCCUUGUCAUUAGUUGCUACGAAAGGGCACUCUGGCGAGACUGCCGGUGACAAACCGGAGGAAGGUGGGGAUGACGUCAAGUCCUCAUGGCCCUUAUGGGUAGGGCUUCACACGUCAUACAAUGGUCGGGACAGAGGGUCGCCAACCCGCGAGGGAGCCAAUCCCAGAAACCCGAUCGUAGUCCGGAUCCGCAGUCUGCAACUCGACUGCGUGAAGUCGGAAUCGCUAGUAAUCGCGGAUCAGCAUGUCGCGGUGAAUACGUUCCCGGGUCUUGUACACACCGCCCGUCACACCAUGGGAGUGGGUUUUACCAGAAGUAGUUAGCCUAACCGUAAGGAGGGCGAUUACCACGGUAGGAUUCAUGACUGGGGUGAAGUCGUAACAAGGUAG